rnacentral:rRNA from 1 species
AGGACGAACGCUGGCGGCGUGCUUAACACAUGCAAGUGGGGCGACGAACCAGGCUUCGGCCUGGGCAAAGCCGCGAACGGGUGAGUAACACGUGGUAGCCUGCCCUGAAGACUGGGACAACCCGGGAAACCGGCUAAUACCGGAUGUGGUCAUCGUUCACAAGGACGAUGAGCAAAGGAAGCUUCGGCCUCCGCUUUGGGAUGGGCCCGCGGCCCA